UACGUAGGUGGCAAGCGUUGUCCGGAAUUAUUGGGCGUAAAGCGCGCGCAGGCGGUCCUUUAAGUCUGAUGUGAAAGCCCACGGCUUAACCGGGAGGGUGCGGCGGAAACUGGAGUGCUUGAGGGUGGGAGAGGUAAGCGGAAUUCCUGGUGUAGCGGUGAAAUGCGUAGAUAUCAGGAGGAACACCUGUGGUGUAGACAGCUUACUGGACCACUUCUGACGCUGAGACACGAAAGCGUGGGUAGCAAACAGG
rnacentral:rRNA from 1 species